GUGCCAGCCGCCGCGGUAAUUCCAGCUCCAAUAGCGUAUAUUAAAGUUGUUGUGGUUAAAAAGCUCGUAGUUGAACCUUGGGCCUGGCUGGCCGGUCCGCCUCACCGCGUGCACUGGUCCGGCCGGGCCUUUCCCUCUGUGGAACCCCAUACCCUUCACUGGGCGUGGCGGGGAAACAGGACAUUUACUUUGAAAAAAUUAGAGUGCUCCAGGCAGGCCUAUGCUCGAAUACAUUAGCAUGGAAUAAUAAAAUAGGACGCGCGGUUCUAUUUUGUUGGUUUAUAGGACCGCCGUAAUGAUUAAUAGGGACAGUCGGGGGCAUCAGUAUUCAACUGUCAGAGGUGAAAUUCUUGGAUCAGUUGAAGACUAACUACUGCGAAAGCAUUUGCCAAGGAUGUUUUCAUUAAUCAGGAACGAAAGUCAGGGGAUCGAAGACGAUCAGAUACCGUCGUAGUCUUAACCAUAAACUAUGCCGACUAGGGAUCGGACGGUGUUAUUCAUGACCCGUUCGGCGCCUUACGAGAAAUCAAAGUGCUUGGGCUCCAGGGGGAGUAUGGUCGCAAGGCUGAAACUUAAAGAAAUUGACGGGAAGGGCACCACCAGGGGUGGAGCCUGCGGCUUAAUUUGACUCAACACGGGGAAACUCACCAGGUCCAGACACAAUAAGGAUUGACAGAUUGAGAGCUCUUUCUUGAUUUUGUGGGUGGUGAUGCAUGGACCGUUCUUAGUUGGUGGGGUGACUUGUCUGCUUAAUUGCGAUAACGAACGAGACCUUAACCUGCUAAAUAGCCCGCAUUGCUCCGGCAGU
rnacentral:rRNA from 1 species